UACGAAGGGGGCUAGCGUUGCUCGGAAUCACUGGGCGUAAAGGGUGCGUAGGCGGGUCUUUAAGUCAGGGGUGAAAUCCUGGAGCUCAACUCCAGAACUGCCUUUGAUACUGAGGACCUUGAGUUCGGGAGAGGUGAGUGGAACUGCGAGUGUAGAGGUGAAAUUCGUAGAUAUUCGCAAGAACACCAGUGGCGAAGGCGGCUUACUGGUCCGAUACUGACGCUGAGGUGCGAAAGCGUGGGGAGCAAACAGG
rnacentral:rRNA from 1 species